AUACGGGGGGUGCAAGCGUUGUUCGGAAUCACUGGGCGUAAAGGGCGCGCAGGCGGUUUGGUAAGUCAGAUGUGAAAGCCCACGGCUCAACCGUGGAAGUGCAUUUGAAACUGUCAGACUUGAGUACUAGAGGGGAAAGUGGAAUUCCCGGUGUAGAGGUGAAAUUCGUAGAUAUCGGGAGGAAUACCGGUGGCGAAGGCGACUUUCUGGCUAGAUACUGACGCUGAGGCGCGAAAGCGUGGGGAGCAAACAGGAUUAGAGACCCUAGUAGUCC
rnacentral:rRNA from 1 species